AAAGCAGGGGAUCGCAAGACCUGCGCUAUUAGAGCGGCCGAUGCCUGAUUAGCUAGUUGGUGAGGUAAUGGCCUACCAAGGCGACGAUCAGUAGCUGGUCUGAGAGGACGACCAGCCACACUGGGACUGAGACACGGCCCAGACUCCUACGGGAGGCAGCAGUGGGGAAUUUUGGACAAUGGGCGCAAGCCUGAUCCAGCCAUGCCGCGUGAGUGAAGAAGGCCUUCGGGUUGUAAAGCUCUUUCAGCCGGAAAGAAAUCGUCCGGACUAAUACUUCGGAUUGAUGACGGUACCGAAAGAAGAAGCACCGGCUAACUACGUGCCAGCAGCCGCGGUAAUACGUAGGGUGCGAGCGUUAAUCGGAAUUACUGGGCGUAAAGGGUGCGCAGGCGGCCUCUAAGUCAGAUGUGAAAGCCCCGGGCUUAACCUGGGAACUGCGUUUGAAACUACAAAGCUAG
rnacentral:rRNA from 1 species